GAUGUGUAACAGCUUAUCUACGAAACAAAGAUCGUUUAAAAAAAAAACAGGCAUAGUUGGACGUUUACGCUGGCCGUAAUACAGUUGUAGGAGAUUCGUGUUGACCUUGACGCGAUGAUGUGUUUAAUUAUACUCCCCGUAUCUUCUCAACCUGGUCAUCGUGGUUGUGGAACGAGAGUGAAAAUGUCGUCAACCGGGAUGUUGCACUGGAAGACAAGGUCCACGGAAGGGUUGCGUGGCCAAAUAUAAACGUUUAUAUGUAUUUAUGCGCGGAUCGACGAGAUAAUAUUUGGGUCGUGCGUUAAACACGGAAACUCGCUACAACAUAUUUACACAGUGCACGCUAGUUUAUCGGGAACGACCCACGGGUUUUCCGGAUCCAUCUCGACAAUACACGUAUAUUUACGGACAAAAGCGCGUGACGUUUGCAAACUCAACCCGACAUCAAUUGGCUGACCCUCUUGAGACUGUUUUUACUAUGCAAAAACCUUCUCUUAGACACCCCCGAUACACCACGAUCUCCCGACCUCCGCUCAUCUAACGCCUCCGUCGCCAACGAAGCAACUGGAGUAAAAAAAUUCCAAGUGAACAUUUGUAAGGAUCGAAAAUAA